UGCUGUGAGCUCGAUGAGUAGGGCGGGACACGUGGUAUCCUGUCUGAAUAUGGGGGGACCAUCCUCCAAGGCUAAAUACUCCUGACUGACCGAUAGUGAACCAGUACCGUGAGGGAAAGGCGAAAAGAACCCCGGCGAGGGGAGUGAAAAAGAACCUGAAACCGUGUACGUACAAGCAGUGGGAGCCCCACCACUAAGCCAGUGGUGAACUCCACAUACGCAUCCUUUGCUGAGGAUACGGUUAACGGAGCGAAAGCGACGUUCAACCGCAAAAGAAGCAGAGGGGGCUUAGUGGUGGGGUGACUGCGUACCUUUUGUAUAAUGGGUCAGCGACUUAUAUUCUGUAGCAAGGUUAACCGAAUAGGGGAGCCGGAGGGAAACCGAGUCUUAAUUGGGCGUUAAGUUGCAGGGUAUAGACCCGAAACCCGGUGAUCUAGCCAUGGGCAGGUUGAAGGUUGGGUAACACUAACUGGAGGACCGAACCGACUAAUGUUGAAAAAUUAGCGGAUGACCUGUGGCUGGGGGUGAAAGGCCAAUCAAACCGGGAGAUAGCUGGUUCUCCCCGAAAGCUAUUUAGGUAGCGCCUCGUGAAUUCAUCUCCGGGGGUAGAGCACUGUUUCGGCUAGGGGGCCAUCCCGGCUUACCAACCCGAUGCAAACUGCGAAUACCGGAGAAUGUUAUCACGGGAGACACACGGCGGGUGCUAACGUCCGUCGUGAAGAGGGAAACAACCCAGACCGCCAGCUAAGGUCCCAAAGUCAUGGUUAAGUGGGAAACGAUGUGGGAAGGCCCAGACAGCCAGGAUGUUGGCUUAGAAGCAGCCAUCAUUUAAAGAAAGCGUAAUAGCUCACUGGUCGAGUCGGCCUGCGCGGAAGAUGUAACGGGGCUAAACCAUGCACCGAAGCUGCGGCAGCGACACUCAGGUGUUGUUGGGUAGGGGAGCGUUCUGUAAGCCUGCGAAGGUGGCCUGUGAGGGUUGCUGGAGGUAUCAGAAGUGCGAAUGCUGACAUAAGUAACGAUAAAGCGGGUGAAAAGCCCGCUCGCCGGAAGACCAAGGGUUCCUGUCCAACGUUAAUCGGGGCAGGGUGAGUCGACCCCUAAGGCGAGGCCGAAAGGCGUAGUCGAUGGGAAACGGGUUAAUAUUCCCGUACUUGGUGUUACUGCGAAGGGGGGACGGAGAAGGCUAUGUUGGCCGGGCGACGGUUGUCCCGGUUUAAGCGUGUAGGCUGGUUUUCCAGGCAAAUCCGGAAAAUCAAGGCUGAGGCGUGACGACGAGGCACUACGGUGCUGAAGCAACAAAUGCCCUGCUUCCAGGAAAAGCCUCUAAGCAUCAGGUAACACGAAAUCGUACCCCAAACCGACACAGGUGGUCAGGUAGAGAAUACCAAGGCGCUUGAGAGAACUCGGGUGAAGG
rnacentral:rRNA from 1 species